UGAUUGUAAAUCAUCACUGAAAUUACAACAGGUAAUCGUAGACGAUCCGUUGACAUGUUCAAGAAUACCAUCCUUAUCCUUGAUGAUGGUUCGUGAUGGUUGCUUGGACCAGACAUGCAGCCACUCAAUGUUUUUACAAUGUCUAAUUUCAUUUCACUUUUAAUUUUCACUUCCCUUUUCUUUCAUGCACUGCAACCAGAAGAGUCUGCCUCACACUUUGGAGACAUAGUGGAUAUUAAAGUAAAAAAAACCCUCAAAAGAACAAAAUGACGUAGGGAUUCCCUGAUUUCCAGUGAGAGGCGUAACAACAAGGCACACCUGCAGCUGCUUGGCAAUUAUUGCCGUUCUUAAGCACAGUGACUGCAGCAGGAAGAAGCCGGAUCGUACCAUCUGCUACCUUAAGUGCGAGUGGAAUCCGGUUAGGCAUCCCUUCGCCAAUCGACAUCCCUUCGAUUGGCUGACUCACGUUGACAUAAGUGAUUGUUGACAUAACCGAAACUAGCUAUUGCUUGCACAUUUACUUGUGACUACGGCCAGAGUCAUAACGAGUGUGGGUGAUAAUAAAGGAUUUUUUAACCUACGGUGGCUUGUUCACAUUUUUCCCCUCCAUUUGUACAAAAUUGAAAUGGUGCAUUUUGUCAAGUUGCGGAAAGGAGGAUGAAACAACAGCUGAAGUCUACCAAGAAAGGACCUUUGGUGUUAUGCCGAAGGUUUGGAGGUAAGUGGCAGUUCUUUUCUUGUUGCCCCUGCGUUGAUGACGUUUAACAAUACUACAACACAUGUCUACAUAAACCAGUGCUUCUAAAAUAGUCG